rnacentral:rRNA from 1 species
GAUGAACGCUGGCGGCGUGCCUAAUACAUGCAAGUCGAGCGAACAGAUGAGGAGCUUGCUCCUCUGACGUUAGCGGCGGACGGGUGAGUAACACGUGGAUAACCUACCUAUAAGACUGGGAUAACUUCGGGAAACCGGAGCUAAUACCGGAUAAUAUAUUGAACCGCAUGGUUCAAUAGUGAAAGACGGUUUUGCUGUCACUUAUAGAUGGAUCCGCGCCGCAUUAGCUAGUUGGUAAGGUAACGGCUUACCAAGGCAACGAUGCGUAGCCGACCUGAGAGGGUGUUCGGCCACACUGGACCUGAGACACGGUCCAGACUCCUACGGGAGGCAGAAGUAGGGAAUCUUCCGCAAUGGGCGAAAGCCUGACGGAGCAACGCCGCGUGAGUGAUGAAGGUCUUCGGAUCGUAAAACUCUGUUAUUAGGGAAGAACAAAUGUGUAAGUAACUAUGCACGUCUUGACGGUACCUAAUCAGAAAGCCACGGCUAACUACGU